UCUCUUCUUCUCCAGCUACCAAAUGGAGAGAUUUCUAAGACAAAUGGCUUUAUAUCUCCAAUGUGGGGAGGUGUUAUUGUUUGGAAUCCCCAAGGCUGUUUAAAUGAUUCAGAAUUUGAGCCCAGUGCCAAGAACAUAAUUCCAAUACAGGAUCUUGAGAACAUGUUUGAAGUAUUCAUUGG